AAAAACAUCGAUAGUGAGACCUGAAUGUUCAAUGAAGCAACAGGCUGAUGAUUUAACUGACCUUAUGUGUGUGAAAUAAUCUUGUACUACAUCAUGAAACUGCAAGUUUUGUGUACUGUGCUUAGGCCUGUUGUAUAAUCUUUGCACUGUACUGACUGGCUGCUAUUGCUUCACAAUUAAUUAUAUAUUAUAUAAAGCACAAAAUAUCAAUUGUAUUAAACUGAAAGAGUUAACGAAAGAAAAGAUGCUUAAUAAAAAGAAAGGUGGUGUCCCACUUCCUGUUGACUUCAUUAUCAGCUACCCUGUCUCAUGCAAGACCACCAGUUGUACUAUUAAGUGAACAGAAGUGAAUCAGCAAAGACCUGACUGCACCUGUGACGGUAAACUUCUCAAAAUAUGAUUGUAAAAAUGCUGUCAUCCGUGAUCAUCUUGAAUCUCGUACUCCACAACUGUCUGAGUGAGCUGGACAUGCUGCACCCAUCUCAGCCCUGCACUGAAGCAGAGAACAAGAAUGGUCACAACACUUUUCUUAAACGGCAUGUACGCAAGGACAUCCCAACCGAUCUGAAAGAAGAGAACUGGAAGAUGUUCAUUAACAAAAUUGGCACCUGGAACAGGCCGAUUCAGUCGUUCUUCUCCUUCAAUGAAAAAAAUAAUGUGACAGCUGUGUGUUCCUCAGGAGGAAAGAUGUAUAAGGGCAACCUCUGUAUAAGCAAGAAGAUUUUUUCCUUCAUCACUGUUAACAUCGACAGUAAGAAUAAAAUAGUCAAAAGUGUCAAACGUCAGAAACAGCAUGUUAUUCUUGCCUGUGAUAAAUUUAAAAACAAAUGUCUCCCUGAUCAUUUCCAGGCAAAUACAAAAAACAGUAAACCAAAUAAUAACAAACCAGACUGCAGUAAACUAAAGUUCAGCUCUGUUUAUGAGCAGGAAGUGUUUUCCUGGCUGUAAUGUAACUAUGACCUGAGGAACUAAGAACUAUAUUCUUUUUCUGUCGUUUAAUUAAACUGUUGAUGACAAAUAUGAAUAAAUGACAUAUAAAAACAACUUUCUCAGUGUUACUGUUUUAACAAAACACGGGUUUUUUUUUUUUUUUUUUGUUUACAUAAAAUGAAUUUCAGUUCUCUGAAUGUAAGUGUGCAACCGCUCAGCAGCACCACCUAGUGUCAGAAACCAUUUUACUCCUACACUGCUGGUGCACGAAGAUUUAGGAUUUCUUUUGAAUAGAUUUCAAAGUUAGGAAAUACUCAUCCAGAGUUAUGAAUUUAAAUUUGAGUUUGUUAUUAUGAAUUUAAGUUAUUAAAUUAAAUUUAUAAUUUAAAAAAAGUCAUAUCAAAUAAUAGAUUAAAUGUUUUCUUUAUAUAAUAGGCUAUGCAUUAAUAUCCAAAUGCAGGUAGGCUAAUAGAGUAAUAAUUGCUAAUCUGAUGCCUGACAAAACUGAGGGAGCUAAAACAGCUGACGUGUCAGGAUUCAGGAUUUUAGUCAUACACUUGGAGGUUGAAACUCAAAGAGAGAAAUACGCACUAGAUGAAAAUAAACUUUGGUUUGGCUAAAGAAGGAAGCAAAAGGAGACGGUCCACCUAAGGGCUUCGCAAACGUAGACACCAACACGCCUGCAACUCAACAUUUCGCAGGUCUUCAAAAUGAUUGCUUUUUUGGUACUUUUGACUUUUGUUUUGCCUCAAAGUCAUUCAGUGGAUAGAAACUCUAACCCUUGUAUGCCAGCGAAGUACAACAACGCCCAUAAUGUUUUCCUGAAGCGCCAUAUUCCUGAUGGGGUGCCAAAAACGUGGGACCAAAACGCUUGGGAAACUUUCCUGAGGAAAAUUCAAAUGUGCGGCAGGCCGACGCAGUCGUUUUUCCGUGCAAGCGAGAAACAGCGUGUGGAAAAUGUGUGUACUAAGGCUGGGGGCAAGACCAUGGCCGGUAACCUGUGUAUCAGUAAAGAGAAAUUCUCCUUCGUAACGGUGAGGAUCGAUACCACUGAUGGCGCGUGUGGGAUCAAAACCAUGCGCAAUGAAUCUAAACACAUCAUCCUCGCUUGUGAAGAGAUAGGAGAUGUCUGUCAACCGGUCCAUUUUGAGGGAAACCCAGAAAACAGAGCGCCAAGCAAUAACCAGCUGGACUGCGGGGCUAAGGAGAGCUCGGGGACUAAAACUGCCAUGAUAAACGUACUUUCUUUUCUGUUCACUUUGGUAGUAAUGGUUUACAUUUUUUAAGACUCAAAUGUUAUGUUUUUAGUGCUACUUAUGUUAAAGACUUAAAAAAAGGCAUUUCUUUGUUGUGUUCAUAGCCUAUUUGUUUGUUAAUUAUUUAUAGGCUAAUAAAAAGGUUUAAAACAUUUUGUUAAUAAUUUUGUAUAAAAAAUAAUAAACGAAGUACUUUUAACUCGA